UACGUAGGAGACGAGCGUUGUCCGGAAUCACUGGGCGUAAAGCGCGUGUAGGCGGAAGAGCAAGUCUGCUGUGAAAACUCCUGGCUUAACCGGGAGAGGUCGGUGGAAACUGCUCGUCUGGAGGACGGUAGAGGCUGGUGGAAUUCCCGGUGUAGUGGUGAAAUGCGUAGAGAUCGGGAGGAACACCUGUGGCGAAGGCGGCCAGCUGGGCCGGACCUGGACGCUGAGACGCGAAGGCGUGGGGAGCGAACGGG
rnacentral:rRNA from 1 species